GUCUCUGUGGCGUAGUGGGAGAGUGACGGACUCUCACUGGGGAGAUCUGGGUUCGAAUCUCGGGUGAGACA